rnacentral:tRNA from 1 species
GCCUUCGUGGUGUAAUGGUCAGCACACUGAGCCGGUAAUUCAGAGUUCCGGGGUUCGAUCCCCAGCGAAGGCA